CCUACGGGUGGCAGCAGUGGGGAAUAUUGGACAAUGGGGGGAACCCUGAUCCAGCCAUGCCGCGGGUGUGAAGAAGGCCCUCGGGUUGUAAAGCACUUUCAGUGAGGAAGAACGCCUGGUGGUUAAUACCCAUCAGGAAAGACAUCACUCACAGAAGAAGCACCGGCUAACUCCGUGCCAGCAGCCGCGGUAAUACGGAGGGUGCGAGCGUUAAUCGGAAUUACUGGGCGUAAAGCGCGCGUAGGUGGCUUGAUAAGCCGGUUGUGAAAGCCCCGGGCUCAACCUGGGAACGGCAUCCGGAACUGUCAAGCUAGAGUGCAGGAGAGGAAGGUAGAAUUCCCGGUGUAGCGGUGAAAUGCGUAGAGAUCGGGAGGAAUACCAGUGGCGAAGGCGGCCUUCUGGACUGACACUGACACUGAGGUGCGAAAGCGUGGGUAGCAAACAGGAUUAGAUACCCUGGUAGUC
rnacentral:rRNA from 1 species